UGGACAUGACUGUGUAAUAAUAU
rnacentral:snRNA from 1 species